rnacentral:rRNA from 1 species
UGGGGAAUAUUGGACAAUGGGCGAAAGCCUGAUCCAGCCAUGCCGCGUGUGUGAAGAAGGUCUGCGGAUUGUAAAGCACUUUAAGUUGGGAGGAAGGGCAUUAACCUAAUACGUUAGUGUUUUGACGUUACCGACAGAAUAAGCACCGGCUAACUCUGUGCCAGCAGACGCGGUAAUACAGAGGGUGCAAGCGUUAAUCGGAAUUACUGGGCGUAAAGCGCGCGUAGGUGGUUUGUUAAGUUGGAUGUGAAAUCCCCGGGCUCAACCUGGGAACUGCAUUCAAAACUGACUGACUAGAGUAUGGUAGAGGGUGGUGGAAUUUCCUGUGUAGCGGUGAAAUGCGUAGAUAUAGGAAGGAACACCAGUGGCGAAGGCGACCACCUGGACUAAUACUGACACUGAGGUGCGAAAGCGUGGGGAGCAAACA